UGUGUGUGUAUGUAUAUAUAUAUAUAUUUUAUAUAUACAUAUAUAUAUUUUUUAUAUAUACAUAUAUAUAUGAACAAGCUCAUAAUAAAAACCUGUGUGUCAGAUUUCUAGAUAUAUAAGCCUUAGUGAGACCUAGCACCUUUUUACUAGAACUAGGCACUCUGGGAUCAUCUUUAUCACCUCCUCCCCUGUUCUCUGCUCCCUCCUCUUUUUUUUCUUUUUCUUCUCUUUUCUCCUUCCCCCUCCGCUUCCUGCUUCUUUUUUUCUCUGGUGCAAUUAAAAAAAAUCUCAAGAGCUAACUCUGCACCUCAGAGCUUCCCUGGCUUUACUGAAUGAUGCGUGGCCAGCUCAAAAAUCUAACGCAUCAUUCCAACUAGUGUAACUUCCCAAACAUGCAGCUACAUGCUCCAAAGCAAUGCUUAGCUGUUGUUAGCGUGCUGCCUUUGAACAUUAAAUAUGCCAAAUCCAUGGUGUCUGUAGCUGUGAGGACGUGCCCAGAGAUGCUACCAGUAGUCUGCUGUGAUAAGCAGUCUUAUUAUAUACUCUUGGCCCAUAAUGGUGACAGGUGACAUUUUGCCUAAACAGUGUCAGGGGUAAUCCAUCACUGGUUACCCCUAAUCACUAUCUGCCUUUCUAUGGGGAUCAUGUCCUUUCAAUACCAUUCAGAACGUGCCUUAGCUAAUGUAAUUUCUGGCUCUGAGAUAUAUCAGGGGAGACAAAGUCUAGAUCACUCACCAUAGGAAACCAGAGGAGCGUAUUUUGCAUUAGCAAAACGUGGAUGCUUACAUAGAUGUCACCUAACAUAGGUCUCCAGUGUGGUCCCAUUUACAUGUCUACUAUAAUUGCUCUAUGUUCUCAUAUUCUCAGCUUUAAAAUCAUCAAUAAAAAAUGAAUUAAAUAACACUGUUUUCUUUUAGCUCUGGGUGCACUGCCCAAAUCACCCCUGAGAACAAACACUGCCCUUCACCCUGCUGUCCAGACUUUUGACCCCUGACCCAUCACAGACAAGUCCCUCAACAGGAAUUGCCCUUGACUGAAGGCAGUUUCCUUACUGAGGUUAGUCCCCAACUCUGGAGGUGGGGAGGGUGAGGGAAGCUCACAUUCAACGAUGGGUGGCUAGAGAGGGUUCAAAGGUCUGGCCCCCUCACCUCCACUGGGACGACUCUAUAAGUUUAUCCCAGUCACAGAGCUUCCUAUAGGAUCAGCUGAUGCCCUGUGUGUCUUGAGGCUGCACUUGCAAAGCAAGCACACACUAAUACUAUUUGUUGGGGUCACGUGGCAGGAGGCUUAUGGAAAUUACAGAGGACCCCUCAGCCCUGAGCCAUCUUUGAAAUGGCCAUGCUUGUGAUAUGGGAAGAUACUAUUUUUAUAGAAAUUGGGAACUGAACCAAGUUUCUUAUUACCACAGCAUCUGCAGGUUGUUCUUUAUCGGAAGCCACCAGUCCCUUCCCAACCACCUGAAAACACUUAUCUGAGGCUAUUUUCAUGGCGUAACUGGUCCUGGUGGUAGAGUUAGUGCUACCAUUUCUACCGUCAUUACCAUCCUGUUCUUCCACCCCAGAGGGACGGAGCCCCAGAGUAACUGAAAUGGGCCUUUCUCUAAGAGGUUGGUGAUUUCUUCGGCAGCCUGCCUGGCACGUGACAUGGGAGCUUUCAGCAUGGCGAGGAAGGGGAGAGAAGGGGCUGGAGGUGGCAGGUACAGAUAGGUAGUCUGCCAGGAGAGGAGUUCAGAGAUUUAGAUCUUAGCCCGGCGUUGCUGCGUGGGCCUUGGCAAGCACUCCUCAUUUUAUCACACAGCACUCUACCUCCGUUUCUAUAACCUCCUGCAGCCUUCCUCCCAAGCAGCGUGGGAAGACAAAAACAGCUGUGCACGUUAGCAGCUUCAGCUGUUCCCACAGCAGCGCUACGCUGCAAUAUCCCAGGGGUCAUCAAAUAUUUAGGAGGAUGUUGCAGACCUUUGUAUCAUGGCCAGAAAUGCCAUGUGCUCAGGUCUGGAUUCCACUGGGUUCUUGUUCGCGUUAGCAGAAACUCGUGAUGAAAAGGAAAUGGCUCUUUUACCAAAUUGUACCGCACUAUAAGAUCAACUGUGUCUUCGUGCUCACCAGAUACAGCUACAGCUUUUCAGUUUCUUGUUAGAGAAAAUAACUAAGCAAGAACAAUACUGGAAUCAGAGUCUGUCCCAGAUGCAAAACACUUUAGAAUAUUUAUUUCUCAUUAUAAUCUAUUCAUUAAAUGUCAUAGCCUGGCCCUCUGGGGAGAGUCACAUACUACAACCCAUACUAGAGACGAGGUUGUGUAUUUAAAGUCGGCCUUGGCUGAUAAACAUGGAAAACUACAAGCUGCCUGAAAAUUCCCUGGUGAUGGUUGAUGCUGGAGAAUGCAGCUGGGGAUGCUGAGAAGUAUGUGCUAUUACAGCAAAGUGUGGUCUAAAUUUCCAUUAAAUAUUUCCUUUCAGAUGUGUGACUUCUUUGGGGGAGAGAUAUAUAGCUCUUGUAAUCAGGGACUAGAAUACCCACUUUGGUAAAAUUUGUUCUCAAUUUAAAGUUGUUUUCUUUUUUUCUUAGCACAGCUAAAAUGGCUUUAGAGUUUUGUCUUUUUCUGGAUGACUGCAAAGCCAAUUUUUAGAGACCUGCAUUGUAGCUUAAUAUUAUGUCAUUGGUUCAGUGUCAGCCAAUGGGAAGAUUAAGUAGAUUUCCAUAUCCAUAAUGGCCAUCUUCAGUCCAGUUCUAGUCAACAUUUCCUUAAUGACUGGAAUGAUGGAAUAGGAAUCUGUUCAUUAAUUUUGCCAAUAAAAACAACUGGUGGGUGGCUUGUGUUUUAGACAGCCAGUCUUGAACUGUAUUAAACAAAGAAGAAAUGGAUGAUUAAAAACCAUAGAAGUUUAGAGAGUGGUUACCAGGUAGUAGUAGGGAGAACCACUAAAUUGCAUAGCACAAAAGGGUACCUAGUUCCUGGGACAUAGGCAUUGUAGGCAAUGACUUGAAGGCCAUAACAGACCCCAAACCAUAGCAAAUGGAAAAUCAAGAUGUAUAUCUUGAAAUAACCAAGUUAGCGUCUACAAUUCCAACACUGGGUCUUUUGACUGCUUCCUGGUUAUGAAACAUUUACUCUGCACUGGAGGUGGUGAAAAUGGAUCCCUUUGCAAUUUUGAUGAAGGCUGGCGUUGACUUUACAAAAUCCAGAUUGCAAAAAGCCCUGGAGUAAUGGUUUCAGUGGGAAGAAAGGACCUAACUAGAUAUAUGGAUUUAGAGUAGAAAGCUGUCAACGCUCUCAGUUGAGUCAAAAGAUUCAGUUCCUGGCUCAGAUUUGAUUUAACCGGCUAAGUGACCUUGAACAAGUCCCCCAACAUCUUGGGUCCUCUAUUUCUUAGCCUGGAAAUGAGGAGUUGCAUUAGUACAGAGAUUCUCAAUCUGUGGUCCUUAGAGAGUAAUGGGAGACUGAACCAUUUUCAGUGCUUAGAAAACCUAAAGAAAUAGUCUAUUUCCUAAUAAGGAGGCCAUAUAGACUAUUAUUUAAUUAACCCUGAUGAUAGAUGAAAACUUUUGAAACAUGAGUACACAUAGGAAAAAUAAUAAAAGUCUUUUUCUUGGUAAUCAAAAGGCAGGAAGCAUUUCAGUCUCUAAACUAAGGCUUAUGAUGACCCUGGUUCCCAACAGAACUGAGAAACCCUGAAGACACUGCAUUUGUAUUGCAUGAAGAGGGAGCCAGGGAAACAUCUCUCGGGGGCAGGCUGGCUUUGGGUGCAAAAUUAGAAGGAAGGCAGGGGGUAUCACUAAUACUAGCUAUGUGACAGCCACUUAUCUAAAUGCAUUAUUUCAUUUAAUCCUCAAAACCAGGUACUGUUAAUAUCCCACCUUGAAGAUGAGGAAUCUGAAGCACAAAGGUAACACUUGCUAAACUCUUUAAAUGGUAGUUAUUAUUACUAACCAUCUGGAUUGUUCCCAGUGGCCAUUAAUCCCACAGAAAUGAGAGGGGCUGGAUAAAGAGAAGAAAAAAAAGGCUUCUCAUCUUCAGGCUUCUUCAAGGAGAAAAUUUAUGGUCUCUGGACUAGAGGACCUAUGUUCCAAGUUUCCGCAGGGUCUGGUUGGAGUCCACCUGGUUCCUGAGCAAAUCCUACUUUAGUAACAACAAAAUUCGAUUAAUCAUCAUCGUCAUCGUCGUCGUCAUCAUCAUCAGUAGCAGCAGCAGCAGCAGACACCCAACAUUUCUCAAACAAAGAAUAGUUUACAAAUACCUUCAUGUGUGGGGAACCAUUUGCUCUUCUUCAACUGCCUUCUACGGCCAGGUGGGGUAUGUAAGAAUGUUAUCAGGACACUGAGCCACUACCUGGUGUAGAUCAAUGCAAACUGUGAUGUUGUGUUCACUAUACCCUUAAAUGAGACCUAUACCUGAGGAAUCCUUUCUCGAGAUGGGCUCAGACAUUAUGGCUAUGAGAGGAAGUCUGCUGGCCUGGAGCAUGAAAACAGCAAGGAUUGAAAUAUAUAAGCAGAGAGAAGAAUUCUGUACGUUAGUGUUAUGUUUCUGAGUUUCUCCUGGGACGAGGGUGAUUCAUUAUAUAAACAGGGAUGAGAUCACAUGGGCCGAUCAGGAUCUACAAUAAAUCUUGAGACAACUCCGGGAAGGGUACUCUGUGGUGUUAGCAAUCAAAUGUAAGGAGACCACACUAUCCCCUUCUUAAGUAUCAAUGGCAACAAAGUGAAAGCACACAGGUGUCUGAUUUGUUCUUUCUAAUUCGCUAUGAUGUCUUGGGGAAGUGUGGCUGCCAAGUGCCGGCUCCUAGUGUGCAUAAAGGCAGUGAUUUCAUGAGAACUAUCAGAAGAUUAAAAAAUUCAAAGACGAAGGAUGACAAGAAAGAUGAACUGAACCAAAGUAAUUAGUGUUCAUCACAGUACUAUGUGCUGCUGUAUUGACCUGCUAUGAUCAGUUCCAACAAGAGGCCACGAAUAUACGUACAAAACGGAAGAAACUGAACAAGGUGGAGAGAUGGGUUGGAGAAGGGGGGAAGUGCCUCUGGGCCACCAUGGCUAUCUGUGACCAAGCAGUCACUACACCAGUACAUUUUAAUGCCUUUGUAUUUGUCCUUACACUUGGCUAGUCCUAUUAGUAAGUGACAUGCUUGAUGGUUUGUUGUUUUCCUUAAUUUCCUAGAGAAAAGGUCUCUGAAAAUUCUAAACUUUUCUGAGUGAAACUAAAAGAAACAGUUCCCCCCCCCCCCAUCACACUCCCACCCACCCGCCCUGCCUGCAUUUCUCAGUUUUGACUGAGGGUCCUGGAUGAAAAGUUUGUAGGAAACAGAAAGUAGGGGGAUUAUCAGGGAUGGUGCUGUAUUGAAACCAAGGAAAGGAUGUAUUCUAGGGCAGAACAAUGUGGAGUAGUCUCACAGAGCUGAAUUGGCACACUAGCUCUGCUGUGAGAUCCUGAAGCACUUAAACCUUGUGAGACUCAGUUUCCUUACAGUAACAUUGAUCUAAUGAUGCCUAUUUUAAUUGGCUGUUUAAAGGUUUACUUGAAAUAACAUAUCUGUGAAGGGUCAAGAGGACUGUGUGGUAUACAGCAGGUACUCAGUCAUGGUAGCAGCUACUUCUACUACUCUUGUCACCCGCACUGCCACUAGAGCCAUCAGGUUGGAGAAAGCAAGAAACCAGGUUAGCUCUUGUCUGCCACUUUUCCAUUCUCUUGGAUCCUGUUAUUAGGGAUAGAAAGGGCAAGACUUCUCUCAACAAAACCAGUUAGAAAUCCAUGACUCCAUUGUUUUAGCUAAAGAAGUCGGUCCUGCAAAGAUUUUACCAAUAGUAGUUUAAAACUGCUUUGGUCUGGGAGGCUACACCAGGCACUAGAAUUCUGAUUCCAGGUAUGUUCCCAACUGCAAUUCAACUGUUCAGCCAUUGUGAUGACAUGCCUUAGUUUUCUGAACUUCAGUUUGCCUUUUGCUAAAUGAGACUGGAACUAGAUCUCAAUCCAAUCAAAUUGGUAGAAAUGUUUGAGUAACAAAGGCCAAAUAGCAAAGGAUUUCUUGUGUAUUUCUUCUGCUCUCUUGUCUCCCACUUUUGCCACAGACACACACAUUCCAUUGCUCUUUUUACAAUAAAGGUUUUGAUACAGUGAAGACACAACUGGGGAGCCCAUGCGUCCAUUUGUUCACUUACUCAAGGACCCUUUCUGAGCACUUAUUACAUGUCAGGCAUUGACCUAUUUAGGGAAGUGCUUGGGCUCCCCCAGGCAUUGUAAUGGAGGGUGCAUGAAUCAUGGCUUCAUAUAUGAUCUGGCAGCAUAAGAACUUUGUAAGUGGAAACAGUGGGUCAGGAAGCAAGGAGGCAAAGUCAGUCUCUGCACAAUGAGAGACUGAGCUUGGAAUGGUGCACUGUGAUCUGGGAACCUCAUUAUUAGCAAGUUGGAGACACACUGGAGAGUGUUCAGAGAAAAGCCACAAGGAUGAUAAACGGGCGGAAAGACUGAUUUAUGAAGACUUACACAACAAAAUAUGUAUUCUUGGAUCAACAAAGACUUCAGAAGAAAGUGAUCACUAUCAACAACUCUCUGAAGGUUGUGAAUUCCCCAGAGGCACCCCAGAGGUGUUUGCCUGAUAUGUGAAAUGUGACAAGGAAUCAGAAGAUGGCAAAUUUAACCUGUGGAUCAGGGAAAAACGAGAAAUAUAAAUCUAUCCAGGCCUUAUUGAUGGGAAGUAGCUUCCAAGGGCAAUAUCCUUAAUCUGUUUUAUCUCCUAUAUACAUUUCUGCAGUUGUAAUUAUGCAAAUCAUUUGUUGUUUCUUUAUGUUCAGGGGUUUUAUGUGUGUUUCCUAUUUACACACACCUUCCCUGAAGAUGUCAAGGAUGAAAUAUUUGAUUUUUUUUUUUGUAACCUUCCACUUCAAAGGCUUAAAGAUAAAAGCAGUUGAGUUAUGGACAAAUUGUUUUUUUAAACCAAAGUUUGCAUGCUUAACCUUUGUUGAAAGUCGUUGUCAUAAUGUGAAUUUUAUUCCUAUGAAAAGCCAGAUGGGUGACUCUUUACAAAACUAUCCCUCAGUGACCUGAUCAACAGUUUUACGCACAUGCACACACACACACACACACGCAUACACAUGAUACACCAUAAAGCUUUCAAAGGAUAUAAAAUCAAUUUAAGGGCAGAAUCCAAUCCCAUGCAAUUUUAUGUAUUCGGGACUCCUGUGAGCACAGCAAUUUUAGCUAUGGGAUAGAGGUGCAAUACUUCAAGAAAAUAGCCCAAGUGAGACCUGGACCUAAGGUUUGGGCCACAGAAACCCUCCAAAGAGCUGGGUCCUAUGGACUGGCAGGGCUAUUUGCUCUCAGCAUUGCUCACGUCAGUGUCAGGACAUGGAACUGGGUCCAAUAGAAGACUAACAUUAUAUCUAUUAAAAUACUUUUUGGUCUCACAACCCUGGUUUCCACUGAUGAUCCAACCGGUUUCUGGGUGGUGAGUCUAUGUCUGGAUCAGGGCUGGGGUCGAGCACACAGCCAAGCUAAAACUGUGGGCUUGGUCCAUCUCCCUGGCCACCACAGUGGUUGGCUCAGGGGCAGGCCUACGACCUGAGCUGGGACUCCAGGACAUUUUCUAAGAUGGUACAGCUCAGAUCUUCUCUUCAUGGCCAGGGCAGCAUGAAGAUAUGAAAGCUGGAACAGCUGGGGUAAAUUUUGCUGUCGUGAUGGGGGCCGGCCCGAGAAGGAGGCCUGUGCACGGACCCAUGCAAAGCCAGAGGAAAAUCACGGGGGGUGGAGCCAGAGUCCUGCUGACAAAAUCCUAUCUGGCUGCCUAUCUCUGCUCUUUUCAGUUAUUAGCAUUGAUAAAUGCCCUUUCAUUAUUAACUGCUUUUGACCUGGGCUUUGGUGCCUUGUGGCAUAAAGAAUCCCAAUUACAAUUUGAAUAAGGGACCAGGUUGUAUGGUAGAGGUCAUGAUUUCUGUCUAAGUGUGGAGGAGAGAAGGUCCAUGUGAGCUGGCAGAUAGUUACAGCCGUCGUCGCAGGGUGGGGAGGAGGGAAUAGAAGGCAGGAGGUAACUAACAGUUGAGUGUCUCCUAGGUUCCAGACAUUGGGACUAGUCCUCACAGUCCACACCCAUGACCAAACUGUUCUUUUUGUCUCCUUAUCCUAUUUUGUGAGUGAGAAAACUAAGGCUUGGACUAGUGGAGCAACUUGCUCCAGUCAAGUGGGGGAGACAUAAAGAUUUGAUGAACCUGUGCUCUUCUCACGGCUCCUCGCUCUUUCAAGCCUACAGCUUGGGUUCCAGAUACCUGUGUGUCAGUCCCAGUUCUAGGUGUUCAGCCUUGGACAAGUCACCCAUGUUCUCUGUGCCUUCGUUUCCUCCCACGUAGCAUGGUGAUGAUGAUGCCCACCUCUCAGAAGCAUUCUGGAGCUUCAUGUGUGGGAAGCCCUUGUGAGAGGAGAAUCAAAUGCCAAGCAGCAAAGGCCAAGAAGGCCAAAGUGAUAUAUUCAAGUUCAAAAAGAGGGAGGCUGCAAGAAUGGUGGGGUCAUGGUGCUUUCAGGCAGAGAAAUACCAACCAGCCCGAUGUUUUAUUUGUUUGUUUGCUUUUGUUUUGUUUUGCUUUGAGUAACAAGUCAACCAAAAAUGUGGUGGUUUACAACAAAAAUAGUUAUUAUUUCACAGUUUCAAUGGGUCAGGAAUGCGGGCUUGCCUUAGCUGGGUCCUGUUUUAGGGACUCUCCCAGGCUGUAGUAAAGGUGUGGUACAGGUACCUCAAGUCUCAAGUGCAAAAGGAUCUGCCUCCAAGCUCGCUCACGUGGGUGUUGGUAAGAUUCAGUUCCUCACAGGUGAGGGCCUCAGUUCCUUGCUGGCUGUUGGCCGGAGGCCCUUUCUGAGUUCCUUGUCCCAUGGGCCUCUCCAUAGGGCAGCUCACAACAUGGCAGCUGGUUUCUAUAAGAGAGAGCAAGCAAGAAAGAGUGAGCAAGAUGGAAGCUGCAAUCUUUUAAAACCUAAUCUCAGAAGUGACAUCCUAUUUCUUUUGUUUGUUGAAAGCAAGGCACUUGAUCCAGCUCACACUCAAGGGGAGGGACAUACACAGGGUUCUGGAAUAUCAGAAGGUAAGGAUCAUUGCCGCCAUCUUAGAAUUCUGCCCUAUACUUAGCAUAUGCUACAUAAUAAUGAAAAAUAAAGAAGAGUACAAUUCCAAUGGGAUAUUUGAGAAAUUAUGUUUAGGUAUAUUUUAUCUAUUUGCAUAUUUAUAUUUUUGUGUCAAUAUGUGCAUACAAAGUAUACAAUGUGAUCAUAUACUUAGGUAGAGCCAGCCAGGUUUUCUUUUUUUUUUAAUUUUAUUUUUUCUUUUUUAA